GUCAAAGUUUAUCCUGGUGGGGCUUUUUCUGUGGACACACAUUGCUGGAAACUCCUCACAGAAUAAUUACAUAGCUUGUUUUAUUCACAAAACUAUUUGUUAGAUUUCUGGAAAAGAACCAUAAGACAGAC
ensembl:snoRNA